UUGUCACUUCUUGUUCUUUGCUUCACGUCUUCUCUUAGUUCUCUCUUCACUUAGUAGUUUCCAUCUUCACCUUCGUGUCUCUACCUCUUUAUCUUUAGACCCUUCCUCACUUUGCAAUCCUUAAUUCCUUGCUUUCUUCUUUUCCAAAGCCCUAAUUUCGAAAACUCAAGAUUCAGGAACUCACCAACCUUGACGUUUUUUAGGAGCUCUCCGAUGGCGUUUUUGAAGAGCUUGCGAGUCGUGUACUAAUUGAUUGAUUGAUUUUCUAUAGGUUGGAAUGGUAGAAAAAUCGCACCUCUCCUACAGCAGCGAGUUCUCGCGAGCGGUGGAGCAGAAGCAGGUGGCGCAGCAGGAGGAUGAGUUGUCUAAUUUAUUACAAUUUGUAGUUGUACAUUGCUUGGACUCGAUCUGAAGCUGAUCGAUCAAAUGUAUAGCAUGAUCUAACUUCGAUUGUGGUUUGAGUUGUAGGAGCAACGAUGGUGGUGUUGCUGCUUAGUGUUUUCAUUCUUCUUGCUUUUAUUCCAAACGGAUUGUUAGUAGUUCCUUCAAUCAUUCCUGCAUUCCUUUGGUCAUCACAUUAUGAACUUGCAAAGGAAAGAAUUUUAACAAGCCUCUGGAACUGGCACUUUUAUUCGUUGGUAGAGAGAUUCUUAAGGUCUAUGUCUCAGAAGCUUCAAUUCAAUGUAUGGUAGACUGAUUGAUUGGGCCAGGGUGCUGCUACUAAUCUGAAGCAGAUAUUAUAGGUGAUACCUCUGCAUCUUCCUCCAGGUGACACAUCAACUGAAAGAACAUUGAAAAUUUAUGGGACACUUCAGCAAAUUGAGUCAUAAAAGGAGUUGGUUAAUCAAAUCAUCAGUGGCGAGGUUUUAAAGCACCACUUCUAAGGUUUUAAAGCACCACUUCUAAGGUAUGGUGCUUAAAUUAAAUUAAAUUUAACAAUCGAAUGUCUAAACCACAAAUUAAACACGCAUUUAGUUUAAUAAUUUAAUUUCUAAAUCACAAAUGAUUAUUAACAUGUUCUGUUAAGAUUUGUCUGUUGUACAUGUUACCAAUCUCGACCACCCUCUAAUUGGGCUCCCCCUACUCCAAUGAUUAUUAACAUGUUCUAAAAUUUCACUUACCAACAAAGUUGAAGAGGUAAAUUGUAUUAUUUUCCUUCAAAUAAAUCAAUGUAUAAUAUUACCUUAUUUUAAAAUAAUUACAGUUUUAAUUAUACAAAAUUAUGAAUCUUAGGAAAGUAUGAAUCAUGAGUUUUAAAGGUGGUGUAUCUGUUGAGAAUUUAGAAAAGUAGAAUAAUAAAAGUUGAAGCAUGUAUUAUUGAGAAAUGAGACAAAAGAAAACAUUUCAUUGGCAAAGAAAAUAUUUAAUGUUUUACUUGACUCAAACUAUUC